CCGGAGUGAACCUGUUAUUGUGCGGCUUCACUGCUCCCUCACACAGUAUCUGAAUGGACCAGUUCCCACUGUUGAUGUGUUCCAAGUGUCUUCAAAAGACAGAUUUGGACUUGGACAUCAGUUGAAAAAGGUAAUGCAAACCUUUGUCACACAGCAGUGGAAGUGUCAGAGCAAAGAUAAACUCAUCAGCCCACACAGCAAAAAGCAAAACGAGAAGAAGGUGAAGUCUCCCCUGCACAUUUUUUCAACUCU